rnacentral:rRNA from 1 species
GGGCCCGCACAAGCGGUGGAGUAUGUGGUUUAAUUCGAUGCAACGCGAAGAACCUUACCAGGGUUUGACAUCCUGCGAAUCUCUUGGAAACGAGAGAGUGCCUUCGGGAGCGCAGUGACAGGUGGUGCAUGGCUGUCGUCAGCUCGUGUCGUGAGAUGUUGGGUUAAGUCCCGCAACGAGCGCAACCCACGUCUUUAGUUGCCAGCAUUUAGUUGGGCACUCUAGAGAGACCGCCGGUGAUAAACCGGAGAAGGUGUGGAUGACGUCAAGUCAUCAUGCCCCUUACAUCUGGGCUACACACGUACUACAAUGCUACGGACAAAGGGCAGCAAGUUCGCGAGGACAAGCAAAUCCCAUAAACGUGGCUCAG